GCCGGGCGUGGUGGCGGGCGCCUGUAAUCCCAGCUACUCUGGAGGCUGAGGCAGGAGAAUCACUUGAACCCGGGAGGCGGAGGUUGCAGUGAGCCAAGAUGGCGCCACUGCACUCCAGCCUGGGUGACAGAGUGAGAAUCUGUCUUAA
rnacentral:SRP_RNA from 1 species